GACGAACGCUGGCGGCGUGCUUAACACAUGCAAGUCGAACGGAAAGGCCCUGCUUUUGUGGGGUGCUCGAGUGGCGAACGGGUGAGUAACACGUGAGUAACCUGCCCUUGACUUUGGGAUAACUUCAGGAAACUGGGGCUAAUACCGGAUAGGAGCUCCUGCUGCAUGGUGGGGGUUGGAAAGUUUCGGCGGUUGGGGAUGGACUCGCGGCUUAUCAGCUUGUUGGUGGGGUAGUGGCUUACCAAGGCUUUGACGGGUAGCCGGCCUGAGAGGGUGACCGGCCCCAUGGGAACGGGGGAACGGCCAGGACGCCUACGGGGGGAAGCGGUGGGGAUUAUUGCACAAUGGGCGGAGGCCGGAUGCAGAAACGCCGCGUGGGGAAUGACGGCCUUCGGGUUGUAAACGGCUUUCGCCUGUGACGAGGCGUGGGGACGGGAAAUGGGUAAGAAGCACCGGCUAACUACGUG
rnacentral:rRNA from 1 species